rnacentral:tRNA from 1 species
GAAAUAUGAGACCCAGGAAGAAGCUUCUAACUUCCCCCCCUAAGCGGCGUACCUCCGUUUAUAUUUCU